CUACUCCCUGCAGUGUUUUAUCUCAAAAAACGGCUUGUGACUUAAGGAAGACGGUGCAAAUCCGUCGCGGACCCGCCACUGUGAGGAAAGCUUACCUUUCCAAGUCAGAUACUUAUGUCACCGGCUAUAACUGG
rnacentral:ncRNA from 2 species